GAUGAAGAACGUAGUGAAAUGCGAUAAGUAAUGCGAAUUGCAGAAUUCAGUGAAUCAUCGAAUCUUUGAACGCACAUUGCGCCCGCUAGUAUUCUGGCGGGCAUGCCUGUCCGAGCGUCAUUUCAACCCUCAAGCCCCCGGGCUUGGUGUUGGGGAUCGGCGAGCCUCCGCGCCCGCCGUCCCCUAAAUCUAGUGGCGGUCUCGCUGUAGCUUCCUCUGCGUAGUAGCACACCUCGCACUGGGAAACAGCGCGGCCACGCCGUUAAACCCCCAACUUCUGAACGUUUGACCUCGGAUCAGGUAGGAAUACCCGCUGAACUUAAGCAUAUCAAUAAGCGGAGGA
rnacentral:misc_RNA from 1 species